rnacentral:rRNA from 1 species
GAUGAACGCUGGCGGCGUGCCUAAUACAUGCAAGUCGAGCGAACGGACGAGAAGCUUGCUUUUCUGAUGUUAGCGGCGGACGGGUGAGUAACACGUGGAUAACCUACCUAUAAGACUGGGAUAACUUCGGGAAACCGGAGCUAAUACCGGAUAAUAUUUUGAACCGCAUGGUUCAAAAGUGAAAGACGGUCUUGCUGUCACUUAUAGAUGGAUCCGCGCUGCAUUAGCUAGUUGGUAAGGUAACGGCUUACCAAGGCAACGAUGCAUAGCCGACCUGAGAGGGUGAUCGGCCACACUGGAACUGAGACACGGUCCAGACUCCUACGGGAGGCAGCAGUAGGGAAUCUUCCGCAAUGGGCGCAAGCCUGACGGAGCAACGCCGCGUGAGUGAUGAAGGUCUUCGGAUCGUAAAACUCUGUUAUUAGGGAAGAACAUAUGUGUAAGUAACUGUGCACAUCUUGACGGUACCUAAUCAGAAAACCACGGCUAACUACGUG